GGGUGCUUGUUAUGAGAAGACUUUGCAUACUUCGCAUGCAAAUUAAUUGAAACGGAAGACAGAUAUAUCUAAUCGCUCUUAGUAGCCCUAAAUAACAAGAAGCUUUGUCGUAUUAACAGCGGAGUAUUUAUCCAAAUUCGAAAAAGGAUUAAGCACGUCAAAGAAUUUAAUGAUAUUCUGGUAAUAUUCUGAUAUCCUGAAACAAUGAAAACGGAUGUUGAUAUAUUAUUGUGACGCACACAACAAAACAAGUACGGCACAAACUAAACCUAAUCGUUGAACUUAUCGGAUAUUUAAUGGAAAACUAUAUUUGGAACUUGCGUCACAUCUUUUUCUUUGUGGCAAUAAUUCAACUACCACUCGCUAUGACGCUUUAUGAAGAUCUCAGUGGUAGAUGCUUAGAUCACGUACAGUCAAAACAUUUUAAAACUCUGAUACCAAACAUAUCUUACAGAGCGACACCUUACCCAUAUGUGACAAAAGACACCAUUAUAACAUUGGAAUGUACCGGCUCUG